CGGGGUCUCCCCUCUCUACCCUUCCAUCAUCAUACAUCCCCAGACAGAGAAGAAAAUAGGCACUCCGACUGAACAAGAUGAAGACAGCAGUUGUUCUCGUGUUGGUGGCAACAUUUCUGUGUGCCAAUUCCUUGCCAAGAGGGUGUCCGUGCCCAAGGAUUCUGUGGCCCGUCUGUGACGCCAAUGGGAACAUCUACGGCAAUGACUGCAUCAGAGAUUGUAGAGGUGGGGAGGAAUCGAAUGCCUACACUGUGGACAGGGAAAACUGGAGAUGUGUCCCCGCUUAGCUUACCUAAGCCGUCCCGGUACAUCUGCAAGCAAGUCAACACUCCUAAUCACGUCUAUUCCGGAAUUAAAACUGUAGUUAAAUAAAGUUUUGUGGAAAUGUGAA
rnacentral:lncRNA from 1 species